GAGGGAGGGAGGGUCUGGUUACCAAGUGAAAGUGAAAGCACAGAAUGAUUCCGUAUUUUGUGUAACGGUUAUACUGAGCUCAGACUUGCCUGUGAGGAAGCUCAGCUUCAGAGGAAGAAAAUCGAACAAAAUGGGUGGAGGGAAAUCAACACCGACGCCUCCAGAAGACUUUGAAGAACCAUGGAGAAAAGUGGACUGGAAAUGCAAAAUGAGAUGAUGUUUUUAUGAUUUUAUGUUUCGCAUAUGCAUUGGCCCAUUGGAGAGAGCUUGCAGUCAAGACAAUAGUGGCCAAAAGAACAUAAUUUAGUGUAUAUGUUAUAUAAUUGCAGAGCAAUAUUUCUAUCAACUCUCCAUGUUGGUAACUUUUAGUUUUAUGACAAUCCUUUAACAUGUUUGAUUAAUUCUGCUGAAGGUGGACAUUUAGAGAGUUAAACCUUGUAUCCUGUAAAAAACAAACAAACAAAAAAACUAACAAAAGUCUAUGUAAUUAUUCGAGUUAUUUUGUGUACAUGCUCAACUGGCUAAUGUGUUUGACCCUGGUGAAAUGAUCCUUGGAGAUCCUCUUCCAUGUAAAGCAUAUUGAGAGUAUGUGGAAGUACGAUAAAUAAACUUUAUGAAUUAUGGACACAAAGCGCAUUCAUUCAUUUAUUUAUUCAUGCAUUCAUCUUACGCACUUUAUCCUGAUCAGUGUCACGGUGGAUCCGGAGCCUGUCUCAGGAACAAUGAGCGCAAUGAUUGAAUGCACCCUUAUUGGAAACCUAGUUCACCACAGA